AUUGAACGCUGGCUGCAGGCCUAACACAUGCAAGUCGAGCGGAGCGGCGGACGGGUGAGUAAUGCCUAGGAAUCUGCCCGGUAGUGGGGGAUAACGUCCGGAAACGGGAGCUAAUACCGCAUACUAUCAGAUGAGCCUAGGUCGGAUUAGCUAGUUGGUGGGGUAAAGGCUUACCAAGGCGACGAUCCGUACCUGGUCUGAGAGGAUGACCAGUCACACUGGAACUGGAAAACGGUCCAGACUCCUACGGGAGGCAGCAGUGGGGAAGUUUGGACAAUGGGCGAAAGCCUGAUCCAGCCAUGCCGCGUGUGUGAAGAAGGUCUUCGGAUUGUAAAGCACUUUAAGUUGGAAGGCGUUACCUACAGAAUAAGCACCGGCUAACUACGUGCCAGCCGCCGCGGUAAUAC
rnacentral:rRNA from 1 species